CCUACGGGAGGCAGCAGUGGGGAAUAUUGGACAAUGGGGGGAACCCUGAUCCAGCGACGCCGCGUGAGUGAAGAAGUAUUUCGGUAUGUAAAGCUCUAUCAGCAGGGAAGAAAGAAAUGACGGUACCUGACUAAGAAGCCCCGGCUAACUACGUGCCAGCAGCCGCGGUAAUCCGUAGGGGGAAAGCGUUAUCCGGAUUUACUGGGUGUAAUGGGAGCGUAGACGGCGAUGCAAGUCUGAAGUGAAAGGCGGGGGCCCAACCCCCGGACUGCUUUGGAAACUGUAUGGCUGGAGUGCAGGAGAGGUAAGUGGAAUUCCUAGUGUAGCGGUGAAAUGCGUAGAUAUUAGGAGGAACACCAGUGGCGAAGGCGGCUUACUGGACUGUAACUGACGUUGAGGCUCGAAAGCGUGGGGAGCAAACAGGAUUAGAUACCCCUGUAGUC
rnacentral:rRNA from 1 species